UCAGAGUAGAGGAGGAAGGUGAGAGUAGAGGAGGAAGGUGAGAGUAGAGGAGGAUGGUGAGAGUAGAGGAGGAAGGUGAGAGUAGAGGAGGAUGGUGAGAGUAGAGGAGGAAGGUGAGAGUAGAGGAGGAUGGUGAGAGUAGAGGAGGAAG